rnacentral:snRNA from 1 species
UACGUGAGGCGACAUGUGGCA